GACGAAGGAUGCAAGCGUUAUCCGGAUUCAUUGGGUUUAAAGGGUGCGUAGGCGGACUUAUAAGUCAGUGGUGAAAUCUCGAUGCUUAACAUCGAACGUGCCAUCGAUACUGUAGGUCUUGAGUACAGAUGCCGUUGGCGGAAUGUGUCAUGUAGCGGUGAAAUGCAUAGAUAUGACACAGAACACCGAUUGCGAAGGCAGCUGACGAAACUGUAACUGACGCUGAGGCACGAAAGCGUGGGGAUCAAACAGG
rnacentral:rRNA from 1 species